CAAGUCGAACGAGAAGGCUUCAGCAAUGGGGCCUAGUAAAGUGGCGUACGGGUGAGUAACACGUGGAUCAUCUACCCUCCUGUGGGGGAUAACCCGGGGAAACCUGGGCUAAUACCGCAUAAUAUCGCAAGAUCAAAGGAGCAAUUCGCUGGAGGAUGAGUCCGCGGCUGAUUAGCUAGUUGGCGGGGUAAAAGCCCACCAAGGCUCCGAUCGGUAGCCGGUCUGAGAGGACGCACGGCCACACUGGAACUGAAACACGGUCCAGACUCCUACGGGAGGCAGCAGUGGGGAAUCUUGCACAAUGGGGGAAACCCUGAUGCAGCGACGCCGCGUGGGUGAUGAAGCUCUUCGGAGUGUAAAGCCCUUUCGGCAGGGAAGAGAUAAGACGGUACCUGCAAAAGAAGCCCCGGCUAACUACGUGCCAGCAGCCGCGGU
rnacentral:rRNA from 1 species